CCUCAGUCAGGACAUUUGCACUAAACUUGGUGUUUUUAAAUAGUAUUUUGAAAAUAGUUAUAUAGUUAUAUAUAUAUAUAUAUAUAUAAUUUAAAAUUAAUCAUAAUGUGUAUAGACUGACCUAAAGCCGGCCCAGUCUGAAGUGACGUCACCUGUAAUGGGAUGCAUGUGGCCGGGACGCCUGUGCGCGCUCCCGUGGAUCACUUCUUUGUCCGUGCAUCACUUUUUCUCCAAACACCGGUGCUGUGGGAUCAGACAGUAUCAACAGAUCAGGAAAACAACCUGUUCGAUGGAUCCAUCUGCGUUAUAUUCAUGCGCUGCUUUUAUUUCUAUUUUUGUCUAUUAAUGUGAAUGUGUUGCUGACUUUAACAGUUGUUCUUACCAUGAGCAUUUAUAUUUUCACCGGUUUGAACAGCACUGAUUCUCAGGGUUACCAUGGUUACCCGCUCUCUGGCUCCACAGACGAGCCGCUCUACACGCAGUACAAGCCGGCAGCGAAGGACCUGAUCCCGCUGCCCAAGGCGGUGAUCUACCUGCUGAUGGCCGGCAUGGUGGUGGUCGGAGUGGCCUAUGCCAUCGUGGGACACCUGAUCAAAGACCUGGCCAUCGACAUCACAGAGUGUGUUUUGGGUCCAACUGGCGAUGAAGACAAGGACGUGGUCGACAACCAGCACCGCCUUCGCCCCGCCCACCCUCCUCCUGCCCAUCCCUUCGCCCACAACGCCUUCCACGUGUGGGACCAGGACGACAUGGUGAUUCCUCUGCCUGACGAGAGCCCCCAGCACAGCCCCCUGCUGCUGGCCGCCAUGCCCUACAUCCCCUCCAUCCCUUCGUUCUUCCCCCAUCCACACAGCCCGUCCUACGACACCUCCCCCAGCUUCUCUGGCAGCCCAUGGGCGAGCGGGGAGGUCAACCUGGUCAAGGAAGUCUGACCCGAUGUGUUUCUAAACUUACACAUCCUAUGUAACAUUCAGGCCCAACUAUGUGACCAAUGGGAGACGAAGGACCUGGUAUUCCACAGACAAUGGAGACUCAAGCUGGGAAAUAAAGCUCCAUUCAAGUCUGUAGUGGUCA
rnacentral:lncRNA from 1 species